GCUGGCGGCGUGCCUAAUACAUGCAAGUCGAGCGAACAGAAGGGAGCUUGCUCCCGGAUGUUAGCGGCGGACGGGUGAGUAACACGUGGGUAACCUGCCUGUAAGACUGGGAUAACUCCGGGAAACCGGAGCUAAUACCGGAUAGUUCCUUGAACCGCAUGGUUCAAGGAUGAAAGACGGUUUCGGCUGUCACUUACAGAUGGACCCGCGGCGCAUUAGCUAGUUGGUGGGGUAAUGGCUCACCAAGGCGACGAUGCGUAGCCGACCUGAGAGGGUGAUCGGCCACACUGGGACUGAGACACGGCCCAGACUCCUACGGGAGGCAGCAGUAGGGAAUCUUCCGCAAUGGACGAAAGUCUGACGGAGCAACGCCGCGUGAGUGAUGAAGGUUUUCGGAUCGUAAAGCUCUGUUGUUAGGGAAGAACAAGUGCGAGAGUAACUGCUCGCACCUUGACGGUACCUAACCAGAAAGCCACGGCUAACUACGUGCCAGCAGCCGCGGUAAUACGUAGGUGGCAAGCGUUGUCCGGAAUUAUUGGGCGUAAAGGGCUCGCAGGCGGUUUCUUAAGUCUGAUGUGAAAGCCCCCGGCUCAACCGGGGAGGGUCAUUGGAAACUGGGAAACUUGAGUGCAGAAGAGGAGAGUGGAAUUCCACGUGUAGCGGUGAAAUGCGUAGAGAUGUGGAGGAACACCAGUGGCGAAGGCGACUCUCUGGUCUGUAACUGACGCUGAGGAGCGAAAGCGUGGGGAGCGAA
rnacentral:rRNA from 1 species